AGGUGAGGUUUUAUGCAUCUCCUUUACAAUAUUCAAAUGUGUUUGUUUUAGUCAUAUGGAGAUGUUUUUUGUAGGAGAACGUAGGGUAGUCAAGCUUCCAAGACUGCAGACACAUCCAAGUGAGGCGCUGCACGGGGCAGUCUGCCAUUGUUU
rnacentral:snRNA from 1 species